rnacentral:rRNA from 1 species
GAGACCGGCGCACGGGUGCGUAACGCGUAUGCAAUCUACCUUUUACAGAGGGAUAGCCCAGAGAAAUUUGGAUUAAUACCUCAUAGUAUUAUGACUCGGCAUCGAGCUAUAAUUAAAGUCACAACGGUAAAAGAUGAGCAUGCGUCCCAUUAGCUAGUUGGUAAGGUAACGGCUUACCAAGGCUACGAUGGGUAGGGGUCCUGAGAGGGAGAUCCCCCACACUGGUACUGAGACACGGACCAGACUCCUACGGGAGGCAGCAGUGAGGAAUAUUGGACAAUGGGCGCAAGCCUGAUCCAGCCAUGCCGCGUGCAGGAUGACGGUCCUAUGGAUUGUAAACUGCUUUUAUACGAGAAGAAACACUACUUCGUGAAGUAGCUUGACGGUAUCGUAAGAAUAAGGAUCGGCUAACUCCGUGCCAGCAGCCGCGGUAAUACGGAGGAUCCAAGCGUUAUCCGGAAUCAUUGGGUUUAAAGGGUCCGUAGGCGGUUUAAUAAGUCAGUGGUGAAAGCCCAUCGCUCAACGGUGGAACGGCCAUUGAUACUGUUAGACUUGAAUUAUUAGGAAGUAACUAGAAUAUGUAGUGUAGCGGUGAAAUGCUUAGAGAUUACAUGGAAUACCAAUUGCGAAGGCAGGUUACUACUAAUGGAUUGACGCUGAUGGACGAAAGCGUGGGUAGCGAACAGGAUUAGAUACCCUGGUAGUCCACGCCGUAAACGAUGGAUACUAGCUGUUGGGAGCAAUCUCAGUGGCUAAGCGAAAGUGAUAAGUAUCCCACCUGGGGAGUACGUUCGCAAGAAUGAAACUCAAAGGAAUUGACGGGGGCCCGCACAAGCGGUGGAGCAUGUGGUUUAAUUCGAUGAUACGCGAGGAACCUUACCAAGGCUUAAAUGUAGUUUGACCGGUUUGGAAACAGAUCUUUCGCAAGACAAAUUACAAGGUGCUGCAUGGUUGUCGUCAGCUCGUGCCGUGAGGUGUCAGGUUAAGUCCUAUAACGAGCGCAACCCCUGUUGUUAGUUGCCAGCGAGUCAAGUCGGGAACUCUAACAAGACUGCCAGUGCAAACUGUGAGGAAGGUGGGGAUGACGUCAAAUCAUCACGGCCCUUACGCCUUGGGCUACACACGUGCUACAAUGGCCGGUACAGAGAGCAGCCACUGGGCGACCAGGAGCGAAUCUAUAAAACCGGUCACAGUUCGGAUCGGAGUCUGCAACUCGACUCCGUGAAGCUGGAAUCGC